ensembl:lncRNA
GUCCUAUGGAGGAGGAAGCAGAGACUCUGUUCUCCUCAUUUGGAUUAAUUCUGAUAUAAUAACUGUUGGUUUAUUUAUCGGUGGAGCAGCAGAACCUUUUCCACAGACAGUUUUCCUGCCCGUUGGCUUGUGUUGACCAGUUUUCUGCCUUCAGCUGAUUCUACCAGCAGACACUGAAAGGUCUUGUUCGGUGUCUCAUAUUCACUGUGAGGAUCUUCUGAUUGAAGCCAACAGAAGAAAAACCUCAUCUGGUUGUGAAGAAGGAGACUGAAUGGAUGACAUCCUCAGUGAACCAUUUCCUGUUUAACUUUCACUUACAGAAGGACAGAAACAAGACAAGUUGUAUUAUGAAGAGAGGAGCUGAAUCUGCAGCAUUAUUAUUAUUACUGGAAGGAUGAGGAGGACAUCAGUGCUGCUCUUCCUCACAGUGAUGAAGGAGAGAAGAUUCUUCAGACAACCACAGCUGGAUGUUCAUGUUCUCUGUAGCUCUCAGUCCAUCAGACCAGAUGUUCCCAAUGAUCCAGACCAAGGCUAGAAGGAAAAUACACUAACAAAGCCGGAAGGGGGAGCUCUCCACCGCUAUGCUUCAUUCGGACUGGAGCUGCCGAGGAAGCAUUGCAUAUCGUGAGCGUGCGCUUUUUGAUCCUCUUCUUCAGAGUGAAAGUAGCAGUUCCUCCUUAAGGUCACAGAUUGCAGCAUCUGAGGGCCUCUUCAAAAGAAGACGUAGUUGAUGAAGGCGUUCUGGAGCAGGACCAGAAAGACCACGACCAAGCAGCCUCGAGAUCUUAGGCAGCGUCUCCCUCGGGUGGGUGUCAACGAUGUUCACGGUCAGGUCUGUGGUAAUCCUGUCAAAAAAUAAAACAGAAAAAAAUCUAGAUUAUAAAUCAACAUGUAACCAAAGCACUCUGUGUAUAACGCCAUAGUAUAGGAUGUAGUUCAGAAAAUGUCAAAGUAUAGUAUACUUUUCAAGAAUAACAUAGUAUGGCCUGUAGGUCAUAGUAUAGCCUGUUGGGGGGGAAAAACCCAUAGAUUAUUAUGUGGUUCAAAAAGCGCAAAAUGAUAGGAUGUGGCGUAAAAUUGUCAUGUAUGAUAUGUGGUUCAGAAAAUGUCAUAGUGCAGUAUAUUGUCAAAAUAGUAUGUUAUUUAAGAAAACAGAG